CACACAUUUGGUGGAUGGAACAAAG
rnacentral:misc_RNA from 1 species